CUUUCUCUCUUUGAGGGAGGGGUUCCCUUGGGAGGAGGCACUUCUGGUGGUCCAAGGAAGAAGAGAGGCGGAAGAGGGAACCCCCAAAGAGAGGAAGAGAAGCUGCACAUUCAGAUGUCAGAGAAUGGCAAAGAAGACCCUUUGGAAGGAGCUCCAGGGGAAGAUGGAGCUGUAGGAAGAAUAUCCUAAACCAGAUCUCAUCUCCCGUCUGGAAGGAGAAGACCUUUUUGACUAGGUCUCCAUGGAAGGAGAAGGACCUGCAGGUAAUGAGCAGCAGAAUAAGAACUAUGAGGAGCCACUUGUGACAUCAAUGGAAAUUACAGAGCCUUUCAUGGGAAAAGAGGAGUUUGGAAAUGAAAAAGAACUGAAAAGCAAAAGGGGAAACCAAAGGACAAACAAGAAGAACAACUCCUCUGCCUCUC